rnacentral:rRNA from 1 species
GUACACGCUGUGACUAGCAUAUCAAUAAGCGGAGGAAAAGAAACUAACAAGGAUUCCCCUAGUAACGGCGAGUGAAGCGGGAAGAGCUCAAAUUUGAAAUCUUAAAGGGUUUCCCUUUACGAAUUGUAGUUUAAAGAAGUGUUUUCUGUUGAGGUUUUGGUAAAAGUUCUUUGGAAUAGGACAUCAUAGAGGGUGAGAAUCCCGUAUUUGACCUUUACUUUCAACUUUGUGAUACACUUUCAAAGAGUCGGAUUGUUUGGGAAUGCAGUCCAAAAUGGGUGGUAAAUUUCAUCUAAAGCUAAAUAUUGGCGAGAGACCGAUAGCGAACAAGUACCGUGAGGGAAAGAUGAAAAGAACUUUGAAAAGAGAGUUAAACAGUACGUGAAAUUGUCAAAAGGGAAGCGUUUGACACCAGUGUUGUUUUUCUGAAAAUCAAUUAAAGAACUGUUUAUGCUAAGCUGUUUAGACUUUAUCAGCUAUCUGUUUAGUUUUGAGCUUUUCUUUAAUGCACUUUUCAGUUAACAAGUCAACAUCAAUUUCUUUUGCUGUAAAAAAGCUUGAGGAAGGUGGCUUGAGAUUCGUCUUAAGUGUUUAUAGCCUCUUGCCUAUGCAGUCGGAGAGAUUGAGGUCUGCAGCGUAGAUCCUUCGGGGCUAAAUGCAUUUGUGCUAAGUUAUAGCAUUUUAUAGACAACUUGUUGACUAUGAUUUGUCUUGUAGCUUACUCGCUUAUGUUAUUUUACCUACGCUUAGGAUGUUGACUGAUAUGUAAGUCGUA